UCCAGCGACGCCGCGUGCGGGACGAAGGCCUUCGGGUCGUUAAACCGCUUUGCUAGGGAGCAAUUUCUGAGUGUACCUAGCGAAUAAGAGGUUGCUAACUCUGUGCCAGCAGCAGCGGUAAUACAGAGACCUCAAGCGUUAUCCGGAAUCAUUGGGCGUAAAGCGUACCGAUAGGCGGUCUGUUAAGUUCUUUGUUAAAUUCCACGGCUUAACCGUGGAAGUGCGGGGAAUACUGGCAGACUAGAGGGGGCAAAGAGGUGCUUGGAACGAACGGAGUAGCAGUGAAAUGCGUUGAUAUCGUUCGGAACACCAAAAGCGAAGGCAGAGCACUGGGUGCCACCUGACGCUGCUAGGACGAAAGCGUGGGGAGCGAAUGGGAUUAGAUACCCCAGUAGUCCACGCUGUAAACGAUGAUGACUUGUCAUUUGGGAGUGUCGACCCUCCUGAGUGACGAAGCUAACGCGUUAAGUCAUCCGCCUGGGGAGUACGGUCGCAAGACUA
rnacentral:rRNA from 1 species